rnacentral:misc_RNA from 1 species
GGGGAACAGUAGCUAGGAAGAAAAUUUCAUGGAAUACCUUAAUUACAUAGUUAUUUAUAAUAUAAUAACUAGUUCUACUAGUAUUAGGAUUAUAAAUCCCAAAAUAUGAAAAUACUAAGCCAAUCUAAUUAGGAAUAUAAAACCAAUACCAAUUAGGAAAAUAGUAAACCUAAAGUAAUAAUAAAAUUUCUAAAUAAUUGAAAUACUAUUUGCUCAUUAAACUUUCUAAACAAUAGAAAUUUAAACAACUUAAUUUUGCAAUGAAAAAUUAAAUCAAAAUAA